rnacentral:rRNA from 1 species
AUGGAGCUUUAGACACCAGGCAGAUCACGUCAAACAACCUUGAAUUAACAAGUAAAAACGCAGUGACCCCUAGCCCAUAUGUCUUUGGUUGGGGCGACCGCGGGGGAAAAUUAAGCCCCCAUGUGGACUGGGGGCACUGCCCCCACAGCCAAGAGCCACAGCUCUAAGCACCAGAAUAUCUGACCAAAAAUGAUCCGGCAAACGCCGAUCAACGGACCG